rnacentral:ncRNA from 1 species
AUUAAUUCAUUAAAGAAAGAUGAGUACGUUCUGGGUGACACGCAGAGAGCUUCUGGUUGGUGAGAAGAAGUUGCAGUCGGAGUUGAAGAUGGUCUUUUGAUUUAAAAAGUAUCGGUGAGCUUGUGGUUAGCCGAUAGUGGGGGCGCCCAUUAUAGCGCACGGGUUGUUUGACUCGUUGAGGUUAGUAUAUCGUGAGAUACUAACAAACUAAGGUGGUAACACGAAGUGGCUUUCGUCCUUUAA